AUUGAACGCUAGCGGGAUGCCUUACACAUGCAAGUCGAACGGAGUGGCGAACGGGUGAGUAAUGUAUCUGAACGUGCCCGGUAGCGGGGGAUAGCUACCCGCAAGCGUAGCUAAUACCGAAUACUCUUGGAGCGGCCGAUAUCGGUUUAGCUAGUUGGUGGGGUAAGGGCUCACCAAGGCGACGAUCCGUAGCUAGUUUGAGAGGACGACCAGCCACACUGGGACUGAGACACGGCCCAGACUCCUACGGGAGGCAGCAGUGGGGAAUAUUGGACAAUGGGGGAAAGCCUGAUCCAGCCAUCCCGCGUGUGUGAUGAAGGCCUUCGGGUUGUAAAGCACUUUUGGCAGGGAAGCGGUACCUGCAGAAUAAGCACCGGCUAACUACGUGCCAGCAGCCGCGGUAAUUC
rnacentral:rRNA from 1 species